GAAAACCGAGAAAUGUGGAGAAAACAGAAGAACCUAGAUAUGAGAAAGGCAAUGUUCAACUUGUUGGAGGCAGUUCUGGCAAUAAAGGACGAAUAGAGAUAUUUACAAGUAAGCAAAUUGUGUACAACAGUUGUACAUGUAUACUGUACAUGUAACUACAUCAUAUCUACAAGUACAAAGAUUACUUGUGCUGUUUGAGAUCAACUCUAAAAGUUAAUGCUCUUUGUAAUAUAUUUAAAAACUAAUUAAUUAAUGUUAGCUAAGGUGUCUCUUGUUAGUCACUGCUCUAGGUCGACAUUAAUUAACGUCAGACAUGAAGUUUCUACGUUAAACAUUGCUAUCGUUUUCUUUCUAGGAACAGAUAGGGCUCUGUGUUCAACAAUAUCUGAGAUGUCAAUGCGGCAAACGUGGUGUGCCAUAGACUUGGCUUCGACAAGGCAGACACUUUAAGGACACCAACAUACUCCAACCCUCUUCAGCCUGCUGCAUCCACCCAGUUCAGCAGUGUCAACUGCGACGAAUACGAAAAAUCAUUAAGCCAAUGCAUAUAUACUAUUUCGAACACUGAAACAUGUUAUGGGCGAGACGUGGGUGUAGUCUGUGUGAGUAAUGGAGAAGAAAACACAGGAGACCGUACAGGAGUCCAUACAGCAAACCGCACAGGAGUCCAGUUAGACCACCUAAGAGACAAUAUACGAGACAGCACAGGAGAUCCCACAGCAUCUACCUUAGGUUUGGUCAGUUCAUCACAAAUGUCAACGAGGUAUUUUUCCCCUAGUAGGAAUCAGCCUAAUCGUUGCAAUCUGUUCUGUCAUAUGUCGUCGUCUAAGGUAACGACAAUCUUUGACUGUUGAAACCUGUUCAGCCGGUAAUACAAACCCACAAAUCAAAUUGAGAGGUUGUCCGUCUGCAAAGUCAAAACCAUCAUUACAGAUUCCAACAGCACACUCAGGACUACCAUCUCAGAUUCCAGAGACACAGUCAGAACCAGCAGCUUCGAUUCCACACACACAGUCACCACCAUCGUUUACGAUUCCACAAACACAGUCAGCACCAUUCUUUCAGAUUCCACGAACGCAAGCAGAACCAUCACUUCAGAUUCCACCAAUGCAGUCAGCACCAUAAGCUCAGAUUCCACCAACUCAGUCAGCAGCACCAUUUGAGAUGCCACUGACACAGUCAGCAGCAUCAUUUCAGAUGCCCCUUACAACAGUCAGCAUAAUCGGCUCUGACCCAUCCUUUGAUAUCUAUAGCAGUUAUUGUCCAAACAAGCCAGGUACUCAAUCUGAACGUCCUUACUCUAAUCAACCUCGUGCCUAUUAUGCUACGCUCAAGACAGGCCAAGCUCACUACAACAACAACCGGUGGUUUUUCCUUCACCAUUUCAAGAGCAAUCAUUCAUCAAUAACUGAUCAAUCACUAAGCAAAACUUUGCAACAAAUUCAAGUGUUGCCAUAAAGUUAAAUGAACAUCAAAAAAGCGUUGCAUAUAUGCAGGAAGCUGCUAUAACUUGUGUGUUGUCAAAUAAUUUGAAACUUGUCGUUUUCCAUGUUUUAUAUGUAUAAGUGUCAGCUGUAUGAAUAAAAAAUAUAAUA